CCUGGUGUUUUUACCCAGACUGCUGCAACUUUCUUAUUGUGGAUAUGCACAUGAUUUAACUGUUACAAUCCUCAAUCUGUGUUUUCUAUGUAAUGAGCAUUGCCUAAUUGCAUAUUUUCUUGUAUUGUAAUGUGGUAUGACAUAGAGCAGUGGAUUAGUCUACUGUAUCUGUGUGUCUGGUUACAGCUUUAGUUUGUCAGUAUUGUAUUUUACUUACUUGUUGUUAUUAUCUCCCCCUUUCUUUUUCUCCUGCUCUAGCUAACUCUCCUGCCUAACCCAGCAUCUGUUUGCCUGGGCUGAACUUCCUCUCCACUAUAUGAGGGUACUUUCUGCAUACAACCCUUGAAAGCUCUGGACCCUGCACUCUUCUACAAACUCACUACCUAAAGCUCUAAGAGACUAACUCUCCUGCCUAACCCAGCGUCUGUUUGCCUGGGCUGAACUUCCUCUCCACUAUAUGAGGGUACUUUCUGCAUACAACCCUUGAAAGCUCUGGACCCUGCACUCUUCUACAAACUCACUACCUAAAGCUCUAAGAGACUAACUCUCCUGCCUAACCCAGCGUCUGUUUGCCUGGGCUGAACUUCCUCUCCACUAUAUGAGGGUACUUUCUGCAUACAACCCUUGAAAGCUCUGGACCCUGCACUCUUCUACAAACUCACUACCUAAAGCUCUAAGAGACUAACUCUCCUGCCUAACCCAGCGUCUGUUUGCCUGGGCUGAACUUCCUCUCCACUAUAUGAGGGUACUUUCUGCAUACAACCCUUGAAAGCUCUGGACCCUGCACUCUUCUACAAACUCACUACCUAAAGCUCUAAGAGAGUAUGUUUAAUUAAUUUGUUUAUGGUCUCUUCCUAAUUUUUAUCUUGUGCUGUUU